CUUCUCUGGACCAAAGCCCUUUGACAGACCUCUUCCAGCCCCCAGCCCAUCAUGGUUCCUGCAGGCAACAUCCCGUUCCUGCUUCUGCUCCCAGUGCCCUUGCCCUUCCAGAGAGAGACUUCUGGGCCUGGUUCUUUGGGGAGGGAAGCUGAGUUUGGAUGGCUGCUGUUCGUCCCCUUCUCACCGCUGGGUGAGAUUUCCCGUGAGGUUCCUGUUCUGGAUGUGGGCCCCUCUCCCUGCCACUCCUGGCGGGCCUCGUGGCUGCAGAUGCGGUCGUGUCACUGCUAAUCGUGGUGGUGUUGUUUGUGUGUGUGCGCCCACGCAGCAGGCCCACCCAAGGUGAGGGCAGGGACAGAGCUGGGCCUGAAGAGGCAUGGUGUCCCUAGGGAGGGGGUCCCCAGGGCGGGUGCCCCCGGGCAAGCCCUUGAGGUUCUGGGGAAACCCUGGGGGCGGUGCUUAGGGGAACUCCUGAGGAAACCCCUGAGGCAGGGGGUC